rnacentral:rRNA from 1 species
CAGCAGCCGCGGGAAUACGGAGGGUGCGAGCGUUAAUCGGAAUUACUGGGCGUAAAGCGUACGCAGGCGGUUUGUUAAGUCAGAUGUGAAAUCCCCGAGCUUAACUCGGGAACUGCAUUUGAAACUGGCAAGCUAGAGUCUCGUAGAGGGGGGUAGAAUUCCAGGUGCAGCGGUGAAAUGCGUAGAGAUCUGGAGGAAUACCGGUGGCGAAGGCGGCCCCCUGGACGAAGACUGACGCUCAGGUACGAAAGCGUGGGGAGCAAACAGGAUUAGAUACCCGCGUAGUCCCUGUCUCUUAUAC